rnacentral:rRNA from 1 species
CCCUUAGAUGUCCGGGGCCGCACGCGCGCUACACUGAAGGAAUCAGCGUGGCUUUCUCCCUGACCCGAAAGGGUUGGGAAACCCGUUGAAUCUCCUUCGUGAUAGGGAUUGGGGCUUGAAAUUGUUCCCCAUGAACGAGGAAUUCCCAGUAAGCGCGAGUCAUAAGCUCGCGUUGAUUACGUCCCUGCCCUUUGUACACACCGCCCGUCGCUACUACCGAUUGAACAGUUUAGUGAGGGCCUCGGAUUGGUCUCGGCCCGCUCUUUACCGGGCGGCGCCGUUGGUCGAGAAGACGCUCGAACUUGAUCGUUUAGAGGAAGUAAAAGUCGUAACA